GUGUAGAUCUGGAGAUCUCCUCUGUUGAAGUGAGAGACUGCUCUGUUCUACUGUACUGUAGAUCCCACAAUGACAGGACACUGAGAAACACUGUACAUAAACCAUACGACACUCUGCACUGUGACGCAUAUCUUAUUGACUCAACAGUGAGCUGAAUUUCAUGGAUUGACAUCUGUAAUGACAUCUGCUGUCAGACCACAGUGCCAUCAAGUGGAUUCUCUAGUGAAUAAAUCAAAUGUAUAUUUAUUUAACCUUCAUUUAACUAGGCAAGUCAGUUAAGAACAAAUUCUUAUUUUCAAUGACAGCCUGGGAACAGUGGGUUAACUGCCUGUUCAGGGGCAGAACGACAGCUCGGGGGUUUGAACUUGCAACCUUUCGGUUACUAGUCCACCGCUCGUACCACUAGGCUACCCUGCCACCCCAUAUGAAACAUCUUUGAUUCUAUAUUGUCAGUAGGAGGAGCUAGAGUAUAAAACUCAGGAUUAGAUCAUGAAUCCUCAAGAUAAAAGAAGAUAAGACAUGAUACUACCAUGAAGAUCAUAGCCAGUUGAUGCUGUGCUUUUCAUCAGCAGCUGGUGCUUAUUCUACACAUCCUGCCAUUUACAAUGUUGUUCUGUUCAUUAUUACUCUUCUUUGACUUGAUAGGUGUCAGUUCUGAACAGGAAUUAACACCCUACAGUGAUGUAGAAGUGGCUUCAGAAAGGGACAGAGUUACUCUCUCUUGUAACUACACCUCUGGUGACACUCUUCAAUGGUAUCGACAGUAUCCCAAAUCAGCACCACAGUUACUGGUUAAGGAGUAUGCAGAUAUUACACCAGGGUUCACUCUAAAUCAUAACAAAAAUGCCAAACGUACGGAUCUGAAGAUCUCCUCCGCUGAAGUGGCAGACUCUGCUAUGUACUUCUGUGCUCUGAGGCCCACAGUGACAGGAAACCCAUAAACACUGUACAAAAACCUAACAUUGCCUGAGAGAGUAUUUAAACUCUGUAGUUCAAGGUUUUAUUUGACAAUAAUGCCAUCAAGUGGAGUCAACAUGCACCCAUUAUAUUGUGUCAAGAGGAGGAACAUAGUGUUAUACAUAACAUGUCAUGAGUGGAACUGAUUCACCCAGAGAGUGAAUGUUCCAAGAGAAGAUCAUUAGAUCAGUCUCUGUCUAACACCCAGUGACUAUGAUGCUGCUCUAUUCAGUCUUUAUUAUGUGCACUUGUAUGUAAGGAUUCACUCUCCAUUUACCGAAUGUGUACUAACAGAAUGUACACUGUUAAGUAUUCAUUACAAUAUGGUAUUAUCAAUAUCAAGAGGUAAUACACUUUGAAACACCAAGUGUGGAUAUACUGUACGCUGUCUACAUUGACUCAGUAAUGCAUGUUUUUCUUUUUUACAGGUAAAAGUGUUGAAGACAUAAUUACUCCAGACAGAGAUGUAGUGGAUGUUAUAAGGGUAGUAGUGUUAAACUCUCCUGUAGAUACAACAGCUCAUUAAUUAACCAACAGUCUCUUAUGGUACCUCCAGCACCCUGGAUCCUCUCCACAGUUCCUCAUACUGGACUACUCUGGGAUCAUAACCAACACUAAUAGUACAAAAUGGACCCUCAUACAUGAAGAAGAGGACAACCGUGUGGAUCUGGAGAUCUCAUCUACUGAAGUGACAGUCUCUGCUCUGUACUACUAAGUAGCAGUUCUGAAGAUGACAAACCCACUAGGCCUAUGGUGGGUGGUGUGGAGGGUGAUACCAUCACACUAUCCUGCAUCUACAUUGGCUCUGUAGACAAUCUACAGUGGUAUAGUUAGUAUCCCAGGUCUAAACCAGUGUUUCUGAUUCUCAUCACGAAAUUAGGACAUGUCCAGAAACUUGUCCCUCUUCGCCUUCCAGCUCAGGUUCAAACCGACUGCGUGGAUCUGGAGAUCUCCUCUGCUGAGGUAACAGACUCUGCUCAGUACUACUGUGCAAUAGAGCCAUAGAGCCCACAGUGACAGGAAACACUUCCUCAUACAAAAAGCUGACAGUCUGAUACAUAUUUUCAGAUGGUAUAUAUAGUAUAGUAUAGUAUAGUAUAGUUUUGUGGAUCUAUUAAAAAAACAAACAAAGACUACAGAAAAAACAGAAGGCCAAUAGGAAGGCUAAUAGGAACUGAAAACCCUUAAGCACAAACCACAGAAUAAGAGUUACAUAUCCAGAUAUCAGAGGAGGUGCCUCAUGGUCACUGGUAUAGGCUGGGUGUAUAGGCUGAGGAUGUCUCUGGAGAAGAUCUACUCAGCUGUCACGCCCUGACCUUAGAGAGCCUUUUUACAUCUCUAUUUGGUUUGGUCAGGGUGUGAUUUAGGUGGGCAUUCUAUGUUCUUUAUUUCUAGGCUUUGUAUUUCUAUGUUUUGGCCGGGUAUGUUUCUCAAUCAGUGACAGCUGUCUAUCAUUGUCUCUGAUUGAGAAUCAUACUUAGGCAGCUUUUUCCCACCUGUGUUUGUGGGUGAUUAUUUUCUGUUUUGUGUUUCUGCACCUGACAGAACUGGUCGUUGUUGUUUUGUUCUUUGUUAUUUUGUUCAAGUGUUUUGACAAUAAAUUAUGAACACUUAACACGCUCCGCUUUGGUCCACUUCUGCCUUCUUCUUCCGACAAGAGUCGUGACAUCAGCUCUCUCCCUGUCUUAUCUCUCAGUUGGUUUAUCUAGUCUGUGUCAGGAUGUCACUCAUAUUACUGUUGCUCCUCUCAGCGUUUGUAGGUGAGUGCUGAAUUCUCAGUUUAAACCAAAUAACAUUUUGAAUACAGUGACAUUGCUUUUUUAAAUUAAUGAUUGCAUGAAAAACUAAGUGGAAUUUUACUGGAAAGUUUCAAUUCUUUCUCGUCAUACUUUAUGGGCACCUAAUCCAUGUCUUUUUUUCUCUUUAGGAAUAAACAUUAACACAAUGACAAUAAGUAUGUUGUUGCAGGUGAUAGUAUGGAGCAGGAAACAAUAACUCCAGUGAAACCUGAAGUUAAUGCUCUCCAAGGAACAGACAUCACUCUCUCCUGCAACUACAAG
ensembl:lncRNA